rnacentral:rRNA from 1 species
GGGUUGUGAGGUUAAGCGACUAAGCGUACACGGUGGAUGCCCUGGCAGUCAGAGGCGAUGAAGGACGUGCUAAUCUGCGAUAAGCGUCGGUAAGGUGAUAUGAACCGUUAUAACCGGCGAUUUCCGAAUGGGGAAACCCAGUGUGAUUCGUCACACUAUCAUUAACUGAAUCCAUAGGUUAAUGAGGCGAACCGGGGGAACUGAAACAUCUAAGUACCCCGAGGAAAAGAAAUCAACCGAGAUUCCCCCAGUAGCGGCGAGCGAACGGGGAGGAGCCCAGAGCCUGAAUCAGUGUGUGUGUUAGUGGAAGCGUCUGGAAAGGCGCGCGAUACAGGGUGACAGCCCCGUACACAAAAAUGCACAUAUUGUGAGCUCGAUGAGUAGGGCGGGACACGUGGUAUCCUGUCUGAAUAUGGGGGGACCAUCCUCCAAGGCUAAAUACUCCUGACUGACCGAUAGUGAACCAGUACCGUGAGGGAAAGGCGAAAAGAACCCCGGCGAGGGGAGUGAAAAAGAACCUGAAACCGUGUACGUACAAGCAGUGGGAGCCUCUUUUAUGGGGUGACUGCGUACCUUUUGUAUAAUGGGUCAGCGACUUAUAUUCUGUAGCAAGGUUAACCGAAUAGGGGAGCCGAAGGGAAACCGAGUCUUAACUGGGCGUUAAGUUGCAGGGUAUAGACCCGAAACCCGGUGAUCUAGCCAUGGGCAGGUUGAAGGUUGGGUAACACUAACUGGAGGACCGAACCGACUAAUGUUGAAAAAUUAGCGGAUGACUUGUGGCUGGGGGUGAAAGGCCAAUCAAACCGGGAGAUAGCUGGUUCUCCCCGAAAGCUAUUUAGGUAGCGCCUCGUGAAUUCAUCUCCGGGGGUAGAGCACUGUUUCGGCAAGGGGGUCAUCCCGACUUACCAACCCGAUGCAAACUGCGAAUACCGGAGAAUGUUAUCACGGGAGACACACGGCGGGUGCUAACGUCCGUCGUGAAGAGGGAAACAACCCAGACCGCCAGCUAAGGUCCCAAAGUCAUGGUUAAGUGGGAAACGAUGUGGGAAGGCCCAGACAGCCAGGAUGUUGGCUUAGAAGCAGCCAUCAUUUAAAGAAAGCGUAAUAGCUCACUGGUCGAGUCGGCCUGCGCGGAAGAUGUAACGGGGCUAAACCAUGCACCGAAGCUGCGGCAGCGACGCUUAUGCGUUGUUGGGUAGGGGAGCGUUCUGUAAGCCUGUGAAGGUGUGCUGUGAGGCAUGCUGGAGGUAUCAGAAGUGCGAAUGCUGACAUAAGUAACGAUAAAGCGGGUGAAAAGCCCGCUCGCCGGAAGACCAAGGGUUCCUGUCCAACGUUAAUCGGGGCAGGGUGAGUCGACCCCUAAGGCGAGGCCGAAAGGCGUAGUCGAUGGGAAACAGGUUAAUAUUCCUGUACUUGGUGUUACUGCGAAGGGGGGACGGAGAAGGCUAUGUUGGCCGGGCGACGGUUGUCCCGGUUUAAGCGUGUAGGCUGGUUUUCCAGGCAAAUCCGGAAAAUCAAGGCUGAGGCGUGAUGACGAGGCACUACGGUGCUGAAGCAACAAAUGCCCUGCUUCCAGGAAAAGCCUCUAAGCAUCAGGUAACAUCAAAUCGUACCCCAAACCGACACAGGUGGUCAGGUAGAGAAUACCAAGGCGCUUGAGAGAACUCGGGUGAAGGAACUAGGCAAAAUGGUGCCGUAACUUCGGGAGAAGGCACGCUGAUAUGUAGGUGAAGCGACUUGCUCGUGGAGCUGAAAUCAGUCGAAGAUACCAGCUGGCUGCAACUGUUUAUUAAAAACACAGCACUGUGCAAACACGAAAGUGGACGUAUACGGUGUGACGCCUGCCCGGUGCCGGAAGGUUAAUUGAUGGGGUCAGCGCAAGCGAAGCUCUUGAUCGAAGCCCCGGUAAACGGCGGCCGUAACUAUAACGGUCCUAAGGUAGCGAAAUUCCUUGUCGGGUAAGUUCCGACCUGCACGAAUGGCGUAAUGAUGGCCAGGCUGUCUCCACCCGAGACUCAGUGAAAUUGAACUCGCUGUGAAGAUGCAGUGUACCCGCGGCAAGACGGAAAGACCCCGUGAACCUUUACUAUAGCUUGACACUGAACAUUGAGCCUUGAUGUGUAGGAUAGGUGGGAGGCUUUGAAGUGUGGACGCCAGUCUGCAUGGAGCCGACCUUGAAAUACCACCCUUUAAUGUUUGAUGUUCUAACGUUGACCCGUAAUCCGGGUUGCGGACAGUGUCUGGUGGGUAGUUUGACUGGGGCGGUCUCCUCCUAAAGAGUAACGGAGGAGCACGAAGGUUGGCUAAUCCUGGUCGGACAUCAGGAGGUUAGUGCAAUGGCAUAAGCCAGCUUGACUGCGAGCGUGACGGCGCGAGCAGGUGCGAAAGCAGGUCAUAGUGAUCCGGUGGUUCUGAAUGGAAGGGCCAUCGCUCAACGGAUAAAAGGUACUCCGGGGAUAACAGGCUGAUACCGCCCAAGAGUUCAUAUCGACGGCGGUGUUUGGCACCUCGAUGUCGGCUCAUCACAUCCUGGGGCUGAAGUAGGUCCCAAGGGUAUGGCUGUUCGCCAUUUAAAGUGGUACGCGAGCUGGGUUUAGAACGUCGUGAGACAGUUCGGUCCCUAUCUGCCGUGGGCGCUGGAGAACUGAGGGGGGCUGCUCCUAGUACGAGAGGACCGGAGUGGACGCAUCACUGGUGUUCGGGUUGUCAUGCCAAUGGCACUGCCCGGUAGCUAAAUGCGGAAGAGAUAAGUGCUGAAAGCAUCUAAGCACGAAACUUGCCCCGAGAUGAGUUCUCCCUGAC